rnacentral:rRNA from 1 species
GACGAACGCUGGCGGCGUGCCUAAUACAUGCAAGUCGAGCGGAACUUGUGAAAAGCUUGCUUUUCAUUUGUUUAGCGGCGGACGGGUGAGUAACACGUGGGCCACCUGCCUGUAAGACUGGGAUAACUUCGGGAAACCGAAGCUAAUACCGGAUACGACUUUCUCUUGCAUGAGAGGAAGAGGAAAGACUGAGAGCCGCUGACAGAUGGGCCCGCGGCGCAUUAGCUAGUUGGUGAGGUAACGGCUCACCAAGGCGACGAUGCGUAGCCGACCUGAGAGGGUGAUCGGCCACACUGGGACUGAGACACGGCCCAGACUCCUACGGGAGGCAGCAGUAGGGAAUUUUGGACAAUGGGCGCAAGCCUGAUCCAGCCAUGCCGCGUGUGUGAAGAAGGCCUUCGGGUUGUAAAGCACUUUCGGCCGGAACGAAAUCGCGCGGGCGAAUAUCUCGCGUGGAUGACGGUACCGGAAGAAGAAGCACCGGCUAACUACGUGCCAGCAGCCGCAGUAAUAC